GAUGAACGCUGGCGGCGUGCCUAAUACAUGCAAGUCGAGCGAACACACGAGGAGCUUGCUCCUCUGACGUUAGCGACGGACGGGUGAGUAACACGUGGAUAACCUACCUAUAAGACUGGGAUAACUUCGGGAAACCGGAUCUAAUACCGGAUAAUAUAUUGAACGGCAUGGUUCAAUAGUGAAAGACGGUUUUGCUGGCACGUAGAGAUGUUUCCGCGCCGGAUUAGCUAGUUGGUAAGGUAACGGCUUACCAAGGCAACGAUGCGUAGCCGACCUGAGAGGAUGAUCAGCCACACUGGAACUGAGACACGGUCCAGACUCCUACGGGAGGCAGCAGUAGGGAAUCUUGCGCAAUGGGCGCAAGCCUGACGGAGCAACGCCGCGUGAGUGAUGAAGGUCUUCGGAUCGUAAAACUCUGUUAUUAGGGAAGAACAAAUGUGUAAGUAACUAUGCACGUCUUGACGGUACCUAAUCAGAAAGCAACGGCUAACUACGUG
rnacentral:rRNA from 1 species